GAUGAACGCUGGCGGCGUGCCUAAUACAUGCAAGUCGAGCGAACAGAUAAGGAGCUUGCUCCUUUGACGUUAGCGGCGGACGGGUGAGUAACACGUGGGUAACCUACCUAUAAGACUGGGAUAACUUCGGGAAACCGGAGCUAAUACCGGAUAAUAUUUCGAACCGCACGGUUCGAUAGUGAAAGAUGGUUUUGCUAUCACUUAUAGAUGGACCCGCGCCGUAUUAGCUAGUUGGUAAGGUAACGGCUUACCAAGGCGACGAUACGUAGCCGACCUGAGAGGGUGGUCGGCCACACUGGACCUGCGACACGGUCCAGACUCCUGCGGCAGGCACCAUUCGGGCUUCUUCCACAAUCGGCGAAAGCCUGCCGGAGCUGACCCGCGUGAGUGAGGAAGGUCUUCUAAUCGUAAAGCUCUGUUCUUCGGGAAGAACAUACGUGUAGGUUCCUGUGCACUUCUUGACGGUACCUCAUCAGAAGGCCACGGCUAACUACGUG
rnacentral:rRNA from 1 species